rnacentral:rRNA from 1 species
GUAACACGUAAACAAACCCUGCCUUCAGGAUGGGGACAACAGACGGAAACGACUGCUAAUACCGAAUAAGUUCCGAGAGCCGCAUGGCCCAUGGAAGAAAAAGGUGGCCUCUACCUGUAAGCUAUCGCCUGAAGAGGGGUUUGCGUCUGAUUAGCUGGUUGGAGGGGUAACGGGCCCACCAAGGCGACGAUCAGUAGCCGGUCUGAGAGGAUGAACGGCCACACUGGAACUGAGACACGGUCCAGACUCCUACGGGAGGCAGCAUG